CAUCACCCAAGUAUUUCUCCUACUUGUCUGAAGCAUCAAGGACUGUGAAUAAGGUUUUUCGUGAUAUCCGACCGGAAUUUAGUUCUGUUCCUGAAAGCCAUUCUUGUUCUGCUCCUGACAGAAGCACUUGCGAUUGCCACCCCGUUAUGGAACUAACCUUGGCUACCCAAAUCAGCUGUCCUUGACAACAUAUUGUAUGCUUGUUCAUUGCAGCAUCUUGCCACUUUACCACCAUUCUCUUUCUUAACCUAUGCCUUCUGCAUUUUUGCCGGCGAAGUGUCUCCCUGUAGAGAAAUGGUGUUACUUAAGGUAAAUAGAGGAAGACUUUUGCAAGACUCUUUGAUUUGAGAGAUCCGGACAUGCUUCAAAUAGUAAGCUAGAAGGCCUUAGCCACGACCGGAGAGUACCAGCACCAGAUUUGAUUGGAAAAGCUAUUCACAAAGGAAAAGGAGCUAGCAUCUGUGUAUCGAGCUAAGUUGAAGAGUUGAGCUUCCAUCUCAUAAUCCAAAAUAGUCAGAAAAAAAAGUUGGCUACCCUGUAUUUAUAUCAAAGAGAGCUUGCUAGUGCCGAUUAUAAUUGUCAGCUUCAACGGUGGCACGUCAGUGCAAACUUUACAUGCGAGAAUCAAGCCAAGUAAAGAUUGUUUCAAUACAAUCAAAGUUCUCUUAAAUAAAAGUUUUGAUCUUCAAGGAAUUUGAUGAUAGUAAGAUGUUUUUAGUGGGAUUAGUGAAUGUCAUUGGUUGUACUUGAACGCCCCUUUUAUGAGGUUAAUUGUAGAAAUUGGAGAGCAUUUUAUUUGUUAAAUCAGGAACUACUUUUUUAGUGCAAAACUGGAAGUAAACUGAAUUGUGUUCAUCAGCUUGGAUCUAAGCUUUGAAGGGGAAAAGAUUUAGAGGGAGAGUUAUUUACUUAGAAGUAUAGUAGUGAAGUUGUAACUUGCUGAGUGAAUUGCCUCUGAAUAAGGCUCUGCAUUCGUAGGAAAUUUCCAAACUCUUUCUCGAAAAUGCUGGAGAAAUGUUUAAACAGUGACCAAUAAUGAAUUAAAGAUUCUCUGCGGUCGUAUGCAGGAA